rnacentral:rRNA from 1 species
GAGUUUGAUCUUGGCUCAGAUUGAACGCUGGCGGCAUGCCUUACACAUGCAAGUCGAACGGCAGCACGGGAGCUUGCUCCUGGUAGCGAGUGGCGAACGGGUGAGUAAUGCAUCGGAACGUAUCCUGGAGUGGGGGGAUAACGUAGCGAAAGUUACGCUAAUACCGCAUAUUCUGUGAGCAGGAAAGCGGGGGACCUUCGGGCCUCGCGCUCUUGGAGCGGCCGAUGUCGGAUUAGCUAGUUGGUGAGGUAAAGGCUCACCAAGGCGACGAUCCGUAGCAGGUCUGAGAGGAUGAUCUGCCACACUGGAACUGAGACACGGUCCAGACUCCUACGGGAGGCAGCAGUGGGGAAUUUUGGACAAUGGGGGCAACCCUGAUCCAGCCAUGCCGCGUGAGUGAAGAAGGCC